ACCAGCGGCGAUAGCACCUUGAAAGCAAUAGUUCCCCAUGGAUCACUGAAUUUGAGCACUGUUGGGCAUGGUUAGUACCCGGAUGGGUGACCAUCUGCCAUCUGGCCAAUCGCGUGCUGUUGGUU
rnacentral:rRNA from 1 species